AGCAGUAGCCACGGUAAUACGUAGGGUGCGAGCGUUAAUCGGAAUUACUGGGCGUAAAGCGUGCGCAGGCGGUGAUGUAAGACAGUUGUGAAAUCCCCGGGCUCAACCUGGGAACUGCAUUUGUGACUGGCGAGCUAGAGUAUGGCAGAGGGGGGUAGAAUUCCACGUGUAGCAGUGAAAUGCGUAGAGAUGUGGAGGAAUACCGGUGGCGAAGGCAGCCCCCUGGGCCAAUACUGACGCUUAUGCACGAAAGCGUGGGGAGCAAACAGGAUUAGAUACCCCGGUAGUCCCUGUCUCUUAUAC
rnacentral:rRNA from 1 species